CCUACGGGUGACAGCAGUGAGGAAUAUUGGUCAAUGGGCGCGAGCCUGAACCAGCCAAGUAGCGUGAAGGAUGACUGCCCUAUGGGUUGUCAACUUCUUUUAUAUGGGAAUAAAUUUCAGUAUGUAUCCUGCUUUGCAUGUACCCUAUGAAUAAGGAUCGGCUAACUCCGUGCCAGCAGCAGCGGUAAUACGGAGGAUCCGAGCGUUAUCCGGAUUUAUUGGGUUUAAAGGGAGCGUAGGCGGUUUGGUAAGUCAGUUGUUAAAGUUUGCGGCUCAACCGUAAAAUUGCAGUUGAUACUGGCAGCCUUGAGUACAGUAGAGGUAGGCGGAAUUCGUGGUGUAGCGGUGAAAUGCUUAGAUAUCACGAAGAACUCCGAUUGCGAAGGCAGCCUGCUGGACUGUAACUGACGCUGAUGCUCGAAAGUGUGGGUAUCAAACAGGAUUAGAUACCCUUGUAGUC
rnacentral:rRNA from 1 species